ACGCACAGAGAAACCUUUGUCAAUACCUGAUCUCAUUUGAUCUCGAAAGCUAAGUAGGAUUGAGCUUGGUUAGUACUUAGACGGGAGAUGGUCGCUCUAGGGCAAAUGGUUAUUGUGUCCU
rnacentral:rRNA from 1 species